AGACAUACAUGGACCAAAGCUUCCAAGGAUGUAGGUAGAUGGCAGGGAUAUUCUGGAUCCCUUUACAAGGAUUCAUCAUCUGAAUGAGCAACGUGGCUGAAUUUCAGGGCGAUGUCCACCUCAUGCCAGGUCCAGAAGUCUCUUUAUCUUCACCAAAGUCAUCCAUAGUAAAGGAACCGCGGAGAACACAGUGUUUGGUGCUGGACCAGGACAAAGGACUGAGGAGCAUAUUUUACACAUCAAAGCCGCUUGGCCUCCAGAGACAAAUGCCUGUACAAUUCAGAGGAUGGAGUCUCCUGGCAGACUACAGAUCAAGGGAUUAAGAGGACCACCAGACAAUGUACCCAGUGUGGGAGCUACUUUGUCUAACCACAUACAUCUUUCUGCUAAUGUCUGGAUCAUCACAUGAAGCCGACUGGAGUGAGACAUAAUUAGAAAAUAGAUCCAUCACCACACUGUCAAUCUACAUUAAAUAGGAUAAUCGCUUGUUGAAUGAGAAAAGAUAUCCAGAAGGUAUCAUCGCAGCAUAACGUCCUGCAUAAAAUCAUGAAAUGAUUCGUUCGGGAGCACAUAGCCUGUGAUAGCCGGAUAGCAGCGUCACCAUCACACAGAAUCGCCAGGCGUGCUUCCCAGAACGUGGCCACUGGUGGACUUGAUCUUCCAGUCACAGGUUUCCUCUCAUCAGCUCCGUAUUUUGCAGAGGAGAAAAGGAAGCAGGAGAAGCUCAAUAAUUUGCUCCGAGUUGGUGACCAAAGAACAAGGAAGUGUGGACAGGAAGUCAAACUCGUAUACGAAAGGGAACGGAGCGCAGGGUUGACCUCCAGGACCACAACUAACCUGAGCUGGAUCCUUGCGAAAAUCACUCCAUCCCUGCUCCUCAGCGAUCCACUGUUCCUAUGACUGAGUGUGGAGCUAGCUGUGUGUGUAAGAUGGUUAGUCUGAGCUAGCACAGGGUGAGUAAGCGCUCACUAGUUAAAGGUUUAACAAGAGUAAGCCACUGGUUGCCAACACUACCUGGUAUCUGAUACUUAACCAAAACACCUCGAGCGGAAGACUGAAAGCUAUUUAUGACAUGGCAUUACAUUCUCCCGUUCUUCCGCCCAUUUGCCCCAAUCCCCUCGAGGUCUGUCUCAGUGUGUUGUCAAGGAUGAGCUGCUUUGUAUGGCCAUCUGCCACCGCGCCGUGCGACAGCGAACGACAUCCUCCAAAAAAUGUUUACAAAUGCUUCUUACAUUGCUGCAGUAUAUUUUUUUCACUAAGCCGAGGCCUCUCCAUUGAAAAAUUAUUUUAAUCAUCGCCAACUGAAUUAUACAAGAAGAAAGCAUGGAGGGAUAGCACUUAGAGGCUCAAUGUACAUUAAUUGCCUCAGCUAAUGAAAGAAACAUGACUUAGCUGAUGCACACAACAUGAAUCCUAAGAUGCACGGACAAUUGAGCGUGGUAAUAAAACAAGUAUUAGAGUGUUAAAUCCAAAACCCUCAUUACGCCGCAUGCAGCAAAACCGACCGUGUACCUGCUGUUCUGAAAGCAUUUCCUCCUCUUGACACUGAAAGUUAAUUAUAGAACCAGGCAUCGAGUUGUGUCACGUGACAUGCGGCUGGGGACCUUCAAAAAACCCUGCAAUAUUAUAUCAGAUAACUUUUGUUUUUUGUUUUUUUAGCUUAUAAAAGAAGUACAUUGGUCAAGCUGAUAUUUAGUUUGCCUUGAUAUUCCAUAGGC
rnacentral:lncRNA from 1 species